rnacentral:rRNA from 1 species
AAUUAAUUGAAACAUCUUAUUAGUUUAAGGAAUAGAAAUCAAACGAGAUUUCAUUAGUAGUGGCGAGCGAAAAUGAAUUAGAGUACAUACAAUAAAAAAGUUAAAUAAUUUGAAAUAAUUAACUAUAAAAGGUUAAAGUCCUGUAAGCUUUUGCGUAUAUUUGUAGUAGAAGAGAUUUCGAGGAGAUCUCUUUGAAUAUUGGAGGACCAUACUUCAAACUCUAAAUAUCUUCAUAUGACCGAUAGAAUAAAGUACUGUGAAGGAAAGAUGAAAAGAAUUCUUAGAUGGAAGUGAAAAGAUUUUGAAAUCUAAUACUCUCAACCGACCGAAGUAUUUAAAAUAUGACGGUGUGCCUUUUGUAUCAUGCAUUAGCGACUUUAAAUUUACAGCAAGCUUAAAUUGUUAAAUGUAAGCGUAGUUAAAGCAAGUGUUCAGUAUACACUAAAUAGUUGUAAAUUUAAGACCCGAAA